GGGGAAGGACACACCAGGCAGAGGGAACGCUGUGACACACCAGUCACAGCCGGGUUAAACGGGCACUGCGUGUUGGGGAGACGCCUAGCAUGGGUGGGGUGCGCAGGAAGGGGACAGAGGGUGGACUGGGCCAGCCCGGGAGAGCCUUGGGUGACCCCUAAGGAUUCUAGCUCCAGGAAAUUGGGAGCCGGCAGAUGGUUUAGGCCGAGGAAGGCUGCGAUCAGCAUUGUUUUCAGACGGCUCAGCAAACAAACCACCCUCUGUGUGGCUCAGGCUUGUUUUAAACAUCACGGAGCCCUGAGCAGAAGGGAAGGCCCAGGGCCAUGCUGGGAAGCCGGCGAGAAGCUCCGAGGGCAGCCACAAGAGGUCUGACGCUUGCUACGAGGAGACGAAGGAGGAGGGAAGAAAAGAGCCAAGCAUCCGGCCUCCAAGCCUCAUUCCUCGUCCCCUGUGGCCCCAUCAGCAUCAUUUCACACAGCGGGUCCCUCCCCGCAUCCAGCCACACUUCCCUCACUUGCUUCCGGAUGCCACCGUCUCCUGGGUGCCCCCCCACCCCGUUCACUGGCCACUCUCGUUCCCUUUGGCUGAUUCUCCACCGUCUUUGAGCCUCUUCUCUCUCCAUCUGUGCUCACUCCCUUGCUCACCUCACCUAGUCUUACGGCUUAAAAGCUCUCCGAUCUUUCCUCAAAGAUGGCUGGGGUCGGGCCCCAAUUAGUCUAGACUCUUUAGAAUGCGGGCACUUGGCAGCAGUUUGUCCCUGCUGCGUCCUGAUUGCCA
rnacentral:lncRNA from 1 species